rnacentral:tRNA from 1 species
ACUGAAAUAGCUCAGUUGGGAGAGCGUUAGACUAUACAUCGAAAGGCACUUGGUUCGAUCUCGAGAUUCGGGA